rnacentral:rRNA from 1 species
GACGAACGCUGGCGGCGUGCUUAACACAUGCAAGUCGAGCGGUAAGGCCCUUUCGGGGGUACACGAGCGGCGAACGGGUGAGUAACACGUGGGUGACCUGCCCUCAGCUCUGGGAUAAGCCUGGGAAACUGGGUCUAAUACUGGAUAUGACUCCACGGUGCAUGUCGUGGGGUGGAAAGCCUUGUGCGGCUGAGGAUGGGCCCGCGGCCUAUCAGCUUGUUGGUGGGGUGAUGGCCUACCAAGGCGGCGACGGGUAGCCGGCCUGAGAGGGCGACCGGCCACACUGGGACUGAGACACGGCCCAGACUCCUACGGGAGGCAGCAGUGGGGAAUCUUGCGCAAUGGGCGAAAGCCUGACGCAGCGACGCCGCGUGAGGGAUGACGGCCU